rnacentral:rRNA from 1 species
AUAAGCGGAGGAAAAGAAACUAACAAGGAUUCCCCUAGUAACUGCGAGUGAAGAGGGAAGAGCUCAAAUUUAAAAUCUGGCGGUCUCUGGCUGUCCGAGUUGUAAAUUAGAGAAGUGUUAUCCGCUCAAGCCUGUGCAAAAGUCUCUUGGAAAAGGGCAUCAUAGAGGGUGACAAUCCCGUCUUUGGCACAGAUCACUUGCGCUUUUGUGAUGCGCUCUCGAUGAGUCGAGUUGUUUGGGAAUGCAGCUCUAAAUGGGUGGUAAAUUCCAUCUAAAGCUAAAUAUGGGCGAGAAACCGAUAGCGAACAAGUACCGUGAGGGAAAGAUGAAAAGCACUUUGAAAAGAGAGUCAAACAGUAUGUGAAAUUGUUGAAAGGGAAACGCUUGAAGUCAGUCGUAUCCUUCAGAAAUCAACCUGACCUUUGGCUGGGUGCAUUUUUUGUUGGAUGGGUCAGCAUCAAUUUUGAUCAUUGGAUAAAGGACUUGGGAAUGUGGCAUCUUUGGAUGUGUUAUAGCCUCUGUUUGUAUACAAUGAUUGGGAUUGAGGAACUCAGUGUGACUUUGGUUUGGAGGUAUUGCACCUCACACACGCACUUAGGAUGCUGGCAUAAUGGCUUUAAUCGACCCGUCUUGAAACACGGACCAAGGAGUCUAACAUGCAUGCGAGUGUUUGGGUGGAAAACUCAAGCGCGCAAUGAAAGUGAAAGUUGAGAACCCCUUUGGGGUGCAUCGACGCCCGGACUUGAUCUUUUGUGACGGACCUGCGGUAGAGCAUGUAUGUUGGGACCCGAAAGAUGGUGAACUAUGCCUGAAUAGGGUGAAGUCAGAGGAAACUCUGAUGGAAGCUCGUAGCGAUUCUGACGUGCAAAUCGAUCGUCAAAUU